rnacentral:rRNA from 1 species
UACGAGGGGGGGCAAGCGUUGUUCGGAAUUAUUGGGCGUAAAGGGCUCGUAGGCGGUUUGUCGCGUCGGGAGUGAAAAUCCACUGGCUUAACUGGUGGCUUGCUUUCGAUACGGGCAGACUGGAGGUAUGCAGGGGGAGAACGGAAUUCCUGGUGUAGCGGUGAAAAUGCGCAGAUAUCAGGAGGAACACCGGUGGCGAAGGCGGUUCUCUGGGCAUGUCCUGACGCUGAGGAGCGAAAGUGUGGGGGAGCGAACAGG